UGGCUCAGGAUGAACGCCGGCGGUGUGCCUAAUACAUGCAGUCGACGCGUUGGCCCAAUUGAUUGAUGGUGCUUGCACCUGAUUGAUUUUGGUUGCCAACGAGUGGCGGACGGGUGAGUAACACGUAGGUAACCUGCCCAGAAGCGGGGGACAACAUUUGGAAACAGAUGCUAAUACCGCAUAACAGCGUUGUUCGCAUGAACAACGCUUAAAAGAUGGCUUCUCGCUAUCACUUCUGGAUGGACCUGCGGUGCAUUAGCUUGUUGGUGGGGUAACGGCCUACCAAGGCGAUGAUGCAUAGCCGAGUUGAGAGACUGAUCGGCCACAAUGGGACUGAGACACGGCCCAUACUCCUACGGGAGGCAGCAGUAGGGAAUCUUCCACAAUGGGCGCAAGCCUGAUGGAGCAACACCGCGUGAGUGAAGAAGGGUUUCGGCUCGUAAAGCUCUGUUGUUAAAGAAGAACACGUAUGAGAGUAACUGUUCAUACGUUGACGGUAUUUAACCAGAAAGUCACGGCUAACUACGUGCCAGCAGCCGCGGUAAUACGUAGGUGGCAAGCGUUAUCCGGAUUUAUUGGGCGUAAAGAGAGUGCAGGCGGUUUUCUAAGUCUGAUGUGAAAGCCUUCGGCUUAACCGGAGAAGUGCAUCGGAAACUGGAUAACUUGAGUGCAGAAGAGGGUAGUGGAACUCCAUGUGUAGCGGUGGAAUGCGUAGAUAUAUGGAAGAACACCAGUGGCGAAGGCGGCUACCUGGUCUGCAACUGACGCUGAGACUCGAAAGCAUGGGUAGCGAACAGGAUUAGAUACCCUGGUAGUCCAUGCCGUAAACGAUGAGUGCUAGGUGUUGGAGGGUUUCCGCCCUUCAGUGCCGGAGCUAACGCAUUAAGCACUCCGCCUGGGGAGUACGACCGCAAGGUUGAAACUCAAAGGAAUUGACGGGGGCCCGCACAAGCGGUGGAGCAUGUGGUUUAAUUCGAAGCUACGCGAAGAACCUUACCAGGUCUUGACAUCUUGCGCCAACCCUAGAGAUAGGGCGUUUCCUUCGGGAACGCAAUGACAGGUGGUGCAUGGUCGUCGUCAGCUCGUGUCGUGAGAUGUUGGGUUAAGUCCCGCAACGAGCGCAACCCUUGUACU
rnacentral:rRNA from 2 species